rnacentral:rRNA from 1 species
GACGAACGCUGGCGGCGUGCUUAACACAUGCAAGUCGAACGGAAAGGCCCUGCUUUUGUGGGGUGCUCGAGUGGCGAACGGGUGAGUAACACGUGAGUAACCUGCCCUUGACUUUGGGAUAACUUCAGGAAACUGGGGCUAAUACCGGAUAGGAGCUCCUGCUGCAUGGUGGGGGUUGGAAAGUUUCGGCGGUUGGGGAUGGACUCGCGGCUUAUCAGCUUGUUGGUGGGGUAGUGGCUUACCAAGGCUUUGACGGGUAGCCGGCCUGAGAGGGUGACCGGCCACAUUGGGACUGAGAUACGGCCCAGACUCAUACGGGAGGCAGCAGUGGGGAAUAUUGCACACUGGGCGGAAGCCGGAUGCAGCAACGCCGCGUGCGGGAUGACGGCCUUCGGGUUGUAAACCGCUUUCGCCUGUGACGAAGCGUGAGUGACGGUAAUGGGUAAAGAAGCACCGGCUAACUACGU